UUUCGUGUUCAAUGGCGAGUUUCAUAGUGAAUGCGAGAAACGCAUCUAUGGAGUGGCAGUACCCGUGGUUUGAAGUUUCCUGUCUGGCUGUCUCUAUGCUCUGGCUAUCCUCCAUGUUCCUGCUCCAAUUUUCAUUCGAGUCAUAUGCACGAAGAGUUAGGCUUUCGAAAUCCGUCAACUGUCAAAUGACAAGUAGUAGCAGCAGCAGCAGUAGUAGUUGUAGUAGCAGUAGUAGCUGAGGGCAGGUGGUAGGUGAGAGAAUCACAAUGGCAGCCGAAAUCAAGCCCGCGCCCGGGAUGAACCAGGACAAGUUCAGCUCCAAGAAGCCUAUACUUCUGUCGAAGCUCGAGGGUUGCAAUGACGACGUCAAUGCCGCCGUUAUCAUUCCCAGGGUUGACGGCGUCAUCAGCGUCUGCGACGACAGAACUGUCAGAGUUUGGUUGAAACGUGACUCAGGACAAUACUGGCCAAGCGUAUGCAUGCACAUGGUUGCAGCACCAACCUCUCUUGAUUUUUGUCCUGAAACCAGACAGCUGUUUGUUGGAUUAGAUAAUGGCAGUAUAAAUGAGUUUUUAUUGGAAAGCGAUUACAAUCGUAUGACAGCCAUUCGAGAAUACAUGGCUCAUCAAGCAAGAGUUGCUGCAGUAGUUUUUUCAUUGAGCUGUGAAUGGGUACUUAGUAUAGGUAGAGACAAAUUGUUCCAGUUCCACAGUACUGAAAAUGGAAAGGAUCACAUCAAAUAAUAUGUUCAAUAAUCCAAAAGGUAACGUCUACAAAAAGUUGCUGUACCACAUGCAUGGAACAUACACCUACAACAUGGUGUCUACUGGUGAAACAUGCAGCAUGCCAUUUUUCAACGAGCUCGUUUGUCGCAAUAGGAGUUGAAGACGAUUUAAGUUCCCUCAAGAAUGCCCUCAAUUUUCUCAAGGGAACAUUUAUUACAUUCAGCAUUAUUUGAUAUGCGAUUAUCGUCCUCAAUCGUGCCCAGGACUCUACAUGUGCUUCCUCCAAUUGUAUUAAUUUCUUCCAUUAUCUUUUUUAAUACUAAUCUAUGGCUGAUUAUAUUGAUGUCAAUGUCAAUUAUACCUUCAUUCUCGUUGGAAAACCACAGAAUGAAAUUAUGACUUCUCAUAUUUUCCAAACUGAGAUUGACAACACGAAAAGCUACUGAUUUUAAUUAUGAGACUAGAUGAACGAAAAGUUAUGAGAAUUUGGACAUUAAUGCAGGUUAUACUUGUUUCGCUUAAAACGUUAAAAGUUAUAAAAAAAAAAGAAGAAGGCCUUGCGGAGAUGGUGGGUGAAGCCACAUAUCGUACCGAGAAUAAGGAAUACUAUAGGAGCAUUUGCUACAGUAUGCCAAUAUUUUCAAAUCAAUGAUCACGAAGAGUUUACAAAUCAAUUUAAGAUGACACCAGGCAAUUUUCAAGAGUUGUAUACGUUAAUUGCUGAUCAGUUGCAGAAGCAGUAUCAUAAUAGAGAGCCAAUUUCUGCAUAUAUUCGACUGGCUAUAACAAUACAUUAUUUCGUUCAAGGAGGAAAUGCUUUAACUUAUUGCGCGCACUACCGAAUUGGAAAAGCUACAUUUUUUAAAAUCAUACACGAAACGUGCUACGUUAUUACUUCAGUUCUGCUGCCAAUUUACGUGAAAUUUCCCAACGAACGGGAUUGGUUACGUAUUGCCCAGGAAUUUGAAGACAGAUGGAAUUUUCCGAAUUGUGUUGGAGCUCUAGACGGGAAGCACAUGCGAAUAAAAAGACCAGCUCAUGCUGGAAGUAUUUUUUAUAACUACAAAAAAUUUCAUAGUUUAGUUUUGAUGGCAAUCAGCGAUGCACAAAGUAGAUUUGUUUGGUUCACCCUUGGUGAUGGUGGUUCGUUCAGCGACUCCAGUGUCUUUCAAAAUACUAAUUUUUAUAACAAAAUUUUGAACAAUGAAUUGAACUUACCUGCUCCAACAAAGUUGCCUAACAGUGACAGAUCAUCACCUUUCGUAAUAGUCGCUGACGAGAUUUUUGGUUUGGGAUUUAACUUGAUGAAACCGUACAAUAGAAGAUUGCUGCAGUCAAAUCAAGAAAGAAUUUUUAAUUAUAGAUUGAGCCGAGCCAGAUUCACUAUAGAACGUGCAUUUGGAAUACUUUGUGCAAAAUUUCAGUUAUUGAAUAGUGCUUUAGCUCAUAAUUUAGAUAAGAAUAAAUUAAUUAUAAGCGCUUGUUUAGUGUUACAUAAUUUUUUAAUUACGAAAAAUGUAAUCAACGUUGAUGACGAUUUUACACACUUAGAUAGGCAAAUUAAUCAGAAUGUUAUGCGAAACCCUAUUUUUAUUCGCCAAAACUUGGCAGAAUAUUUCAGCAAUGAGGGAGCUGUUCCCUGGCAAAAUAAUUAUAUUUAAAGAUAAAUAAUCUAUAUUAACAAAAUAGAAAUAAGAAGGCAGUUUUUAUAAAGAAAUAAAUUCCGAUUGAUUCUGAUCGAUUGACUCCUCCAUAUUGUGUAGAAACUUGAAAAAAACAAAAAAACAAAUGGUAUAUUAGUUUUAAGUAUUUAGUAACAAAUACAUUAGUUUUAAUUUUAGAUAUUUAUGAAAAUGAAUGCGUAGCAAAGCAGUUCCGAUAACCUCAAAUUGACAAUAGUUCUUCGAUUCAAUUUGCCAUAAAUAAAAAAUGAGUGGAAACACUGAAAAAGAUAUACUACUUGAUGAAGUUAUCAUACAAAUCGUGAAACCAAAUAAUUUUAUUUACGAUAAGUCGAAUGAUAAAUACUAUACUGAAUUUAGAUCGCAACGAACACAAGUUUUCGAAACUAUUUCCCAAGCGAUUUAUCAACUAUACGAAGUGCACAUUACAGAAAAAGAGAUUGAAGCGAGAUGGCUGUAUUUAGUAAAAAAAUUCAAAGGAGAAAAAGCAAAAAAACGCAAAUACCAGACAUCUGGAUCAGAAAGAAAACCCGAAGUGACCUGGGAAUUGUAUAAUGAGAUGUGUUGGCUUGAUCCAUAUCUGAGUCAUGAACCGCAAAUUUCUUCAGACGAUGUGGAGUUUAUAACAAAAUCAGAAAUCACCGAUAAAUUUUGUCGGAAACGAAAAGUAGAUGAUGGCGAUGACUUACAAAAAGCCAUUGAUGAAAGCGUAAAAUGGAUGAAAAUAAUACAAAAUAAUGUAGCAACUACGAAGACUGAUCGAAUGCCAGAAAGUAUUCUUUAAUAAUGAAUAACCUAUCUGUGAAAAAUGUUUUACAUUCAAAGCCAUUUGAAGAAGAAAAACUUAACGUGAAAAUGAAAUUCACCAUUCAGUACAUCAUGCAAAAUGAUUUUCGUCGCUACGUACCAGUAGCUUUUCGUGUUGUCAAUCUCAAUUUGGAAAAUAUGAGAAGUCAUAAUUUCAUUCUGUGGUUUUCCAACGAGAAUGAAGGUAUAAUUGACAUUGACAUCAAUAUGAUGAGCCAUAGAUUAGUAUUAAAAAAGAUAAUGCAAGAAAUUAAUACAAUUGGAGGAAGCACAUGUAGUCCUGGGCACGAUUGAGGACGAUAAUCGCAUAUCAAAUAAUGCUACAAUAAAUAGAUGGUCUUUACAUCAAAGCAAUUGAUACCGCAGUCUGUGGCCAACUCACCUGAAUGUAAUCAAUCAUUAAAAUAAUAAAACUCCUAUUGAGAUUAGCAACAUAAGAGCAGGUCGUCCAAAACCAGGUUUGUCAGCUCAGCAUCUUGAAGGAGUCAAAUUAUUAAAAGAAAUGUGUAACGCUGAAGUGCAUGGAGCUGCAAUAGGCUCAACCUGCUUAACUUUCAUACCAAGAGACCUUU